CCCCGCCCGCCUAUACCAUGCAAGUCGACGGUAGCACAGAGGAGCUUGCUCCUUGGGUGACGAGUGGCGGACGGGUGAGUAAUGUCUGGGAAACUGCCCGAUGGAGGGGGAUAACUACUGGAAACGGUAGCUAAUACCGCAUAACGUCGCAAGACCAAAGAGGGGGACCUUCGGGCCUCUUGCCAUCGGAUGUGCCCAGAUGGGAUUAGCUAGUAGGUGGGGUAACGGCUCACCUAGGCGACGAUCCCUAGCUGGUCUGAGAGGAUGACCAGCCACACUGGAACUGAGACACGGUCCAGACUCCUACGGGAGGCAGCAGUGGGGAAUAUUGCACAAUGGGCGCAAGCCUGAUGCAGCCAUGCCGCGUGUAUGAAGAAGGCCUUCGGGUUGUAAAGUACUUUCAGCGAGGAGGAAGGCAUUAAGGUUAAUAACCUCAGCGAUUGACGUUACUCGCAGAAGAAGCACCGGCUAACUCCGUGCCAGCAGCCGCGGUAAUACGGAGGGUGCAAGCGUUAAUCGGAAUUACUGGGCGUAAAGCGCACGCAGGCGGUCUGUCAAGUCGGAUGUGAAAUCCCCGGGCUCAACCUGGGAACUGCAUCCGAAACUGGCAGGCUAGAGUCUUGUAGAGGGGGGUAGAAUUCCAGGUGUAGCGGUGAAAUGCGUAGAGAUCUGGAGGAAUACCGGUGGCGAAGGCGGCCCCCUGGACAAAGACUGACUCUCAGGUGCGAAAGCGUGUGGAGCAAACGGGAUUAGAUACCCUGGUAGUCUACGCCGUAAACGAUGUCGACUUGCAGGUUGUGCCCUGUGAGGCGUGCCUCCCUGGAGCUAACGCGUUAAGUCGACCGCCUGGGGAGUACGGCCGCAAGGUUAAAACUCAUAUGAAUUGACGGGGGCCGCACAAGCGGUGGAGCAUGUGGCUUAAUUCGAUGCAACGCGAAGAAGCUUUACCUACUUCUUGACAUCCAUAGAACUUAGCAGAGAUGGCUUUGGCUGUCUUCGGGAACUCUGAGAACAGGUGCCUGCAAUGGACUGAUCGUCAGCUCGUGCUUGUGAAAUGAUAGAGUUACGUUACACAGCCACGGAGUUGCAUUACCUUAUCCUCGUUGGCCAGCGAUCAGUCGUGAAACUUCAAAUGUAGAAAAC
rnacentral:rRNA from 1 species